rfam:Ashbya gossypii ATCC 10895 chromosome V, complete sequence.
GCGGAUUUAGCUCAGUUGGGAGAGCGCCAGACUGAAGUUAACUUCGGUCCGAAAUCUGGAGGUCCUGUGUUCGAUCCACAGAAUUCGCA